CCCAGACUGCAGUGCCGCGCUCCUGCACUGUGCCUUGUCGCUGACAUCAUGGGCCCAGGCGUCAGGUGCUGCAUCUACCUGCCAUCAUGAAACACCCCAACAGACUCUGUUCUGUUGCGCAAUUUCGACGGGUAUUUGCCACCGGACUUCGCGAUUUUGGAGCUCCAACGAAUAAAUACGGUGCCCUGCCUUUCCCCUAGCUAUCCUCAUCACAAAAAACUCCACAAACCGAGUUCACGGGAGAGGUUCUGUGGGUCUGCCGUGCGCUCGCGGGACAUCCUCGCCGUCGUGCGCGUCCACCAUUGACCGAGCUCCGAGUGAAGUCCUGGUGCGGUUCGGGCUUACUGGUGGUCUUAGGGGGUUUCGAUUUGGCGGAGAUUCUUCUCUGGUCGACCUCGUCGCUGCCGCUGUGCAGCGCGCCGCCAUGGCCGCAGGAACCCCGCCGUCGUGGAAGGUCGUAAUCCGCCGUCUGGGCUAACCCGUGCCGGCCUGGGAGUUUCUCCUCAAUACCCUGCUGGUGUCCGCGGCUUCUUCAGGCAAACCUUGCGGCUGGGGUGGAGUGAAUUGGACACCGGAGGAAAAGUUCCGCCGUGUGCUCGCUCCUCACCGUGGUCAGGGCACUGGGCUGCAUACAUCUCGAAGAGCCUGUGACUGAGGAUCCUGGUGACCAACAGAUAGAAGUAGCUGAGCAGGAGCUCAUUGAAGGCAAGUUGUCCCCUUGACCACUUUUUACCCAAUAAUGUUCUUUAAUAUCAUUUAUUCAUGCAUAGGUUAAUUUUUAUGGGACCCAAUAGGUUACCCUAGAUUAUUUAUCUCAUUACCUUGUUUACCCCUGAAUCACUUGGGUAGUUCGCUAUUGCUUUACAUGGAUCUGGGAUAAUUAUUUAUCAUAUCUAUGUUCCAGUUAUUUUGUUAUUCUAUUUAUGUUCAUGUCAAGAUCAAUAAUGUUAAUUGGAACAUAGAGCUUAACUUGAGAAACACGUGCCACCACAAGUGUUUAUGGACGCCCUUGGCUGAUUAAUUAGGAAAGCUAGUGGAUGACUACCUUACCCGAAAGGGGCAAGGGCAGUAGGGGAGUGGUCAGUGUAGGGAGGUCCUUGGUUGAUUUUGUUGCGAUGGCGGUCAGGCAAGAACCCUGCAUUGGAGCUUCCUAUAAACUGUAGCGGGUUUUCUGAAGCUAGUGGAACUUUGUAAAGGCCUCGUAGUGUUACCCUGCCUCGCCUUCUCGGUAGAGGUGUAUGGGAAGUCGUGAUCCCUUGGCGGAUGGGUAACAUGACUUGUGGGUAAAGGGUACAACCUCUGCAGAGUGUAAAACUGGUAUACUAGCCGAGCUCACGGUCAUGAGCAGCUCAGGACUCUCUGAUGAUUAAUUUAUGGAACUAAAUUCAAUUUGUCAUAUGCAUUGCAUCGCAGGUGAUGAUGUUACUUUUGUUCUACUACUUAAUUGGGUUGGUAUUUACUUAUACUUAGUGUUGGGACUAUGCUUCGUCGCCGAAGGUCUUGUAGGAAGAAGCGGUUUUCGGCUGAAGCUGUUUGUAUGGGAUGGCCGAAGGUUCCUCUUCAUGAAGCUUCGGUAUUACAAACCGACUUAAAGAUAGAAUGACCUUUUAGUCCAUAAGGGUCUGAGUCAAUGUUGUAAACUUUUAUGAGGGACAUAAUUGUAAUUCUUCACAGGCUGAGUCCUGUGUCUAUAAAUAGUGAACAAUAUUCCUUUACUGUUCACGGAUUCUGGUAUUGGCAAUAGCAUCAUUCAGGAAUCAACCUUUGCCAAGACAGAGGUAUAACUGUAUUCAAUGAUUCAAUAUAUUGAUUAAAUAUAAUUUGAUUCAUUUACCUUUGA